CGGAUGUAGCCAAGUGGCUCAAGGCAGUGGAUUGUGAACCU
rnacentral:tRNA from 1 species